rnacentral:rRNA from 1 species
AACAGGAUUUGUCCCCUGGUUGUCCACGCUGUAAACGAUGUCGACUAGCCGUUGGGAUCCUUGAGAUGUUAGUGGGGCAGCUAACGCGAUAAGUCGACCGCCUGGGGAGUACGGCCGCAAGGUUAAAAUUCAAAGGAAUUGACGGGGGCCCGCCCAAGCGGUGGAGCAUGUGGUUUAAUUGGAAGCAACGGGAAGAACCUUACCUGGCCUUGCCAUGCUGAGAACUUUCCAGAGAUGGAUUGGUGCUUUCGGGAAUUCAGACCCAGGUGCUGCAUGGCGGUCGUCAGCUCGUGUCUUGAGAUGUUGGGUUAAGUCCCGUAACGAGCGCAACCCUUGUCCUUAGUUACACAGCCACCUACGGGUG